AACGGCGAGUGAAGCGGGAUGAGCUCAAAUUUGAAAUCUCCGAUGCUUGCAUCGGCGAGUUGUAGUUGCGAGAAGCACUUUCUAGGUGGAUCGGGCACGCCUAAGUUGCUUGGAACAGCACGUCGCAAAGGGUGACAACCCCGUCUGUGGCGCGGCCGGCCGCCGCCGAUGUGCUUUCUACGAGUCGGGUUGUUUGGGAAUGCAGCCCAAAAUGGGUGGUAAACUCCAUCUAAAGCUAAAUAUUGGCGUGAGACCGAUAGCGAACAAGUACCGUGAGGGAAAGAUGAAAAGAACUUUGAAAAGAGAGUUAAAAAGUACGUGAAACCGUUGAAAGGGAAACGAAUGGACUCAGCAAUGCGCCGUUUGAGAUUCAGCCGGUCGGCGGGAUCGGUUCGGGGUUUGCGGAUCUGAAUGGACCGCGGUCUCGGGCUCGUUUCUGCCGGCCGUCGCACUUCUCUUGGGCGCGCGUCAACGUCGGUUGGGAGUGGGUCUGAAAGGUGCCGGGAAGGUAGGUGCGGCAGCCCGGUUCUCUCAUGGCUCGGGCUCGACUGAGGAGUUUGCAGCGCAUGCCUCCUGUGGCUAGGGUCCCGUCCAUCCGGCCGGUCGUCGAAUGCGGUGGACUGCUUGCAGUGCUCCGCGACCGCUGCCGGUCGUUUGGGUGGUGAUCUCGUACCAUGCGCUUUGGAUGUUGGCGGUCAUAUGGGUCC
rnacentral:rRNA from 1 species